UUUGCCCUCUUUCUUUACGCCAAUCAUGCUUCUCAUCAAGUUUAUUUGCUCACACGCAAACCGGCAAACGGACAUUUAUCAAAAAUUCAAGAUGAACAUUCGAGCUUGCAAGUUAUCUUUGGAAAACGUUUAAGUUUUAUACCCUUCCUGGUUCUUAUACCAGUCAUAUAUGAUUCCCUCCAGUAUGACACGUCGAUUGUUUUGUUCAUUGUGUAUUAUAAGACCUGGAAGAACAUUUCAACAAAAUUACUAUAAAUUAUUAGCGCGCGGCCUGUGGUCAAAAACAUGGCGGAUUUUGGUUGUCAGAGUCAGCGGAAAGACGUGGGCUCGCUAAUUAAAAUGUUUUUUGCCCGCCCGGAUAUUGUCAACCACAAUGGCGAUACUACAAAAUAUCAAUGCCAUUAUUCCAAGCCCAAACACUUUUAAAAAAAUUUAUCUAUUAAACAUGCUGCAAACUUGUGUGGUAUACGGAUGCUAAAUUACUGCCAGAAUAGGAAAUAUUUCAUGACAUCGGUUGAUUGAGAUGUAGAAGAAAACAAGGAAUCUUUAGAUUGCUUUAAAGACAGUUGGGAGUCAUAUCUUGAACUACGGUAAUUAACAAAUGGAACCAGUGAACCAAAGUUUCCAGUGACAUAUAACAUACCUUAACGUGAUGUUUUUUAUAAAUCUGUGAGUUAUGCAGGUUGGGGUGGAUCCUGUGGUCAUGAUGCACCAAUGAUUGCUUACGAUGCUUUGAUGAUGGCAAAAGAUUCCUGGUUUCAAUUGUGUUCUUGUUCUAUGUUUCAUGGUGGAGAUAGGGACAGUACAGGAAUAUUGGCUGCAGCUUGGUGGGGUGGUAUAUAUGGUAGGAAAAGGGUACCCCCAAUGUAGAGUCCUGGGGACUUUUGAUGUUGUUGUUGACUGACUUUUCAACAACCUUAGAGGUAGUCAUCUUCAGGGUCAAGAUAAAUGAAGAUGUUUGAAGAUAACAACCGUUAGAAAUGUCGAAACGUCAGUCACCAACAUCAUCAACAGUCUUUCUCAAGACUCUACAAACCUGGACGAUCUACAUCAACAAACUUGUAACAUAAAUUAUGUUAUGAAAUUCUGUCUUGAUGUACGUCAGGGUGAUUGUGAAUCACACAAUAAAUAUUAGUACUUAAUUAUGCUAAAAAUAAAUUACUUUCUGAACAAA